CCUACGGGGUGUAGCAGUGAGGAAUAUUGGUCAAUGGACGAGAGUCUGAACCAGCCAAGUAGCGUGAAGGAUGACUGCCCUAUGGGUUGUAAACUUCUUUUAUAUGGGAAUAAAAUGUUCCACGUGUGGGAUUUUGUAUGUACCAUAUGAAUAAGGAUCGGCUAACUCCGUGCCAGCAGCCGCGGUAAUACGGAGGAUCCGAGCGUUAUCCGGAUUUAUUGGGUUUAAAGGGAGCGUAGGUGGAUUGUUAAGUCAGUUGUGAAAGUUUGCGGCUCAACCGUAAAAUUGCAGUUGAAACUGGCAGUCUUGAGUACAGUAGAGGUGGGCGGAAUUCGUGGUGUAGCGGUGAAAUGCUUAGAUAUCACGAAGAACUCCGAUUGCGAAGGCAGUUCACUGGACUGCAACUGACACUGAGGCUCGAAAGUGUGGGUAUCAAACAGGAUUAGAUACCCUUGUAGUC
rnacentral:rRNA from 1 species